GUACACGCUGUGACUAGCAUAUCAAUAAGCGGAGGAAAAGAAACUAACAAGGAUUCCCCUAGUAACGGCGAGUGAAGCGGGAAGAGCUCAAAUUUGAAAUCUUAAAGGGUUUCCCUUUACGAAUUGUAGUUUAAAGAAGUGUUUUCUGUUGAGGUUUUGGUAAAAGUUCUUUGGAAUAGGACAUCAUAGAGGGUGAGAAUCCCGUAUUUGACCUUUACUUUCAACUUUGUGAUACACUUUCAAAGAGUCGGAUUGUUUGGGAAUGCAGUCCAAAAUGGGUGGUAAAUUUCACUCUAAAGCUAAAUAUUGGCGAGAGACCGAUAGCGAACAAGUACCGUGAGGGAAAGAUGAAAAGAACUUUGAAAAGAGAGUUAAACAGUACGUGAAAUUGUCAAAAGGGAAGCGUUUGACACCAGUGUUGUUUUUCUGAAAAUCAGUUAAAGAACUGUUUAUGCUAGUUGUUUAGACUUUAUCAGCUAACUGUUUAGUUUUGAGCUUUUCUUUAAUGCACUUUUCAGUUAACAAGUCAACAUCAAUUUCUUUUGCUGUAAAAAAGCUUGAGGAAGGUGGCUUGAGAUUCGUCUUAAGUGUUUAUAGCCUCUUGCCUAUGCAGUCGGAGAGAUUGAGGUCUGCAGCGUAGAUCCUUCGGGGCUAAAUGCAUUUGUGCUAAGUUAUAGCAUUUUAUAGACAACUUGUUGACUAUGAUUUGUCUUGUAGCUUACUCGCUUAUGUUAUUUUACCUACGCUUAGGAUGUUGACUGAUAUGUAGUCGU
rnacentral:rRNA from 1 species